UACGUAGGCAGCAAGCGUUGUUCGGAGUUACUGGGCGUAAAGGGUGCGUAGGCGGCUUUUUAAGUUUGGUGUGAAAUCUCCCGGCUCAACUGGGAGGGUGCGCCGAAUACUGAGAGGCUAGAGUGCGGGAGAGGAAAGUGGAAUUCCUGGUGUAGCGGUGAAAUGCGUAGAUAUCAGGAGGAACACCGGUGGUGUAAACGGCUUUCUGGACCGUAACUGACGCUGAGGCACGAAAGCGUGGGGAGCAAACAGG
rnacentral:rRNA from 1 species